rnacentral:rRNA from 1 species
AUUAGUGGCGGACGGGUGAGUAACAUUUAGGAAUCUACCUAGUAUGGGGGAUAGCUCGGGGAAACUCGAAUUAAUACCGCAUACGACCUACGGGUGAAAGGGGGCGCAAGCUCUUGCUAUUAGAUGAGCCUAAAUCAGAUUAGCUAGUUGGUGGGGUAAAGGCCCACCAAGGCGACGAUCUGUAACUGGUCUGAGAGGAUGAUCAGUCACACCGGAACUGAGACACGGUCCGG